AUAUAAGGGUUUUGAGGAAGAUGGGUGAGAUUGAGAAGCUGAGACAAGCAAGAGAAGCUAUGAAUGAGAUUUUUUCCAUUGACUCCUGUUAUGUAGCAAGAGUGGGCUCAAGAUGAAGCUUCUAUUUCAACUGGACCUGAGGCAUUUCUGGGGAUUGAGAAGAUUUAUGAAAGAGGAGUUUUUGAUUAUCUGUCUGUCUCACUUUGGUGCGACUGCUUGAGAUUU